rnacentral:lncRNA from 13 species
AUAAAGAAACUAUGAUUCAGCCAUUUCCCAGAUGCUGGACAGCAAAGGUGCCUGAUCAGUGGGUGCUGACUGAACCUGACUCAAUGAAGCAAUGGCUCCCAUAGGCCAUAAUGGAAUUCCUUUCUCCACCAUUAACAGCUCACAUCAUUCAGGGCCUGAGAGUGAGUUUGGAGACCUGACAUUUGGAGAGCUGCUUGGACAAACCGAAAGAAAGCCUGGCCCAGAAAAAAAACUCGAACAUCAUCUGGGCUUACAUUUUCAUCUUGCAACUGAGAAAAGGGAGACUGAGGAGGCACAUAAGCCACGUCUUCCAUGCCCACUUGAAGUCAGGUCUGGAUAUGAAAUACAAGCUGACCUGAAAUAUUCACACUUGAAAUCCGAAGGGCUUGUAAAAUACAAUUCAGCACCAUGGACAGCAGAAAAAUCCCAUUGACAGAAUAAAUCUGAAGUUUUCCUUUCCGUAUUCA